rnacentral:rRNA from 1 species
AAUCAACGCUGGCGGCGUGCCUAACACAUGCAAGUCGAACGAGAAAGUGGAGCAAUCCAUGAGUAAAGUGGCGCACGGGUGAGUAACACGUGACUAACCUACCCUUGAGUGGGGGAUAACCUAGGGAAACCUGGGCUAAUACCGCAUAAUACCUACGGGUCAAAGGAGCAAUUCGCUUUAGGAGGGGGUCGCGGCAGAUUAGUUAGUUGGCGGGGUAAUGGCCCACCAAGACGAUGANCUGUAUCCGGCCUGAGAGGGCGCACGGACACACUGGAACUGAAACACGGUCCAGACUCCUACGGGAGGCAGCAGUGGGGAAUUUUGCGCAAUGGGGGAAACCCUGACGCAGCAACGCCGCGUGGAGGAUGAAGACCCUUGGGUCGUAAACUCCUUUCGAUCGGGACGAUAAUGACGGUACCGGAAGAAGAAGCCCCGGCUAACUUCGUGCCAGCAGCCGCCGUAAG